rnacentral:rRNA from 1 species
CACGUAGGGGGCGAGCGUUGUCCGGAUUUAUUGGGCGUAAAGAGCUCGUAGGCGGUUUGAUAAGUCGGGUGUGAAAACUCUGGGCUCAACUCAGAGACGCCACCCGAUACUGUUGUGACUUGAGUCCGGUAGGGGAGUAUGGAAUUCCCGGUGUAGCGGUGAAAUGCGCAGAUAUCGGGAGGAACACCAGUGGCGAAGGCGGUACUCUGGGCCGGAACUGACGCUGAGGAGCGAAAGCGUGGGUAGCGAACAGG